rnacentral:rRNA from 1 species
UACGGGGGGGGCAAGCGUUGUUCGGAAUUACUGGGCGUAAAGGGCGCGUAGGCGGUUCGCUAGGUUGGAUGUGAAAACUCUGGGCUCAACCCAGAGCCUGCAUCCAAAACUGGCGGGCUAGAGUUCUGGAGGGGGUAGCGGAAUUCCUGGUGUAGCGGUGAAAUGCGUAGAUAUCAGGAGGAACACCGGUGGCGAAGGCGGCUACCUGGACAGAAACUGACGCUGAGGCGCGAAAGCUAGGGGAGCAAACAGG